rnacentral:rRNA from 1 species
UACGGGGGAGCAAGCGUUGUUCGGAUUUACUGGGCGUAAAGGGCGCGUAGGCGGUCAGCACAAGUCAGUUGUGAAAUCUCCGGGCUUAACUCGGAAAGGUCAACUGAUACUGUGCGACUAGAGUGCAGAAGGGGCAACUGGAAUUCUCGGUGUAGCGGUGAAAUGCGUAGAUAUCGAGAGGAACACCUGCGGCGAAGGCGGGUUGCUGGGCUGACACUGACGCUGGAGGCGCGAAAGCCAGGGAGCGAACGGG